rnacentral:rRNA from 1 species
AUUGAACGCUGGCGGCAUGCCUUACACAUGCAAGUCGAACGGCAGCACGGGUGCUUGCACCUGUUGGCGAGUGGCGAACGGGUGAGUAAUACAUCGGAACAUGUCCUGUAGUGGGGGAUAGCCCGGCGAAAGCCGGAUUAAUACCGCAUACGAUCUACGGAUGAAAGCGGGGGACCUUCGGGCCUCGCGCUAUAGGGUUGGCCGAUGGCUGAUUAGCUAGUUGGUGGGGUAAAGGCCUACCAAGGCGACGAUCAGUAGCUGGUCUGAGAGGACGACCAGCCACACUGGGACUGAGACACGGCCCAGACUCCUACGGGAGGCAGCAGUAGGGAAUUUUGGACAAUGGGCGAAAGCCUGAUCCAGCAAUGCCGCGUGUGUGAAGAAGGCCUUCGGGUUGUAAAGCCCUUUUGUCCGGAAAGAAAUCCUUGGACCUAAUACGGUCGGGGGAUGACGGUACCGGAAGAAUAAGCACCGGCUAACUACGUG